rnacentral:lncRNA from 1 species
UCCCCCAUCCUUACCCCGCUCUCCCGGAGGUCCAGGUCCGGGGGGUGACAGUGGAUCACGAGUAGCCAAGGAGAGACUACUUGGGCCUUCAAAGGCCUGCUCACACCGCACUACUCACCGUGUGAGGCCGAGAGCGCCGAGAGCAGGAGGCGGCCAGCGGGUAAGCGGACCGGCGGAAACGCGAAAGAGGAGAAGCCAAAGGCCUAGGUCAGAAAGGGGGAACCGAGGGAAGGCGGGUCCGGCAACCGAGACCGGGAUCGUCUCCCCCCUCCGCAAAGCGAACCCAAAA